rnacentral:rRNA from 1 species
AGGAAGUAAUUGAAAAUUAAACCUAUUUAUCCAGGCGGCAUUUAUCUUUUUAAAGGAACUUGUUAAUUAAUCGAUAAUCCACGAUAAUUUUCACUUAAAUUCUAUAAAUUUAUAUACCGCCAUUUAAAGAAUUAAUUUCAAAAUAUUAUUCUAAAUAAAUUAUAAUAAAUUAGGUCAAGGUAUAAUUUAUAUUUAAGAAAAUAAUGAGUUACAUUAAUAUUUAAUUAAGAAUUAUAUAAUCAAAUAUAUAUAUGAAAAAGAAUUCAAUAGUAAUUUAAUAAAAAAUUUUUAAAUAAAAUAGAAAACUAAUGUGU